UACAGAGGGUGCAAGCGUUGUUCGGAAUUAUUGGGCGUAAAGCGCGUGUAGGCGGCUUUGCAAGUCGGGUGUGAAAGCCCUCAGCUCAACUGAGGAAGUGCGCCCGAAACUGCAGAGCUUGAGUGCCGGAGAGGGUGGCGGAAUUCCCCAAGUAGAGGUGAAAUUCGUAGAUAUGGGGAGGAACACCGGUGGCGAAGGCAGGCAUCCUGG
rnacentral:rRNA from 1 species